rnacentral:rRNA from 1 species
UACGUAGGGUGCAAGCGUUAAUCGGAAUUACUGGGCGUAAAGCGUGCGCAGGCGGUUCGCUAAGACCGAUGUGAAAUCCCCGGGCUUAACCUGGGAACUGCAUUGGUGACUGGCGGGCUAGAGUAUGGCAGAGGGGGGUAGAAUUCCACGUGUAGCAGUGAAAUGCGUAGAGAUGUGGAGGAAUACCGAUGGCGAAGGCAGCCCCCUGGGCCAACUACUGACGCUCAUGCACGAAAGCGUGGGGAUCGAAACAGG